rnacentral:misc_RNA from 1 species
GAUGAAGAACGCAGCGAAAUGCGAUAAGUAGUGUGAAUUGCAGAAUUCCGUGAAUCAUCGAAUCUUUGAACGCACAUUGCGCCUUCUGGUAUUCCGGAAGGCAUGCCUGUUCGAGAGUCAUUAACAACCGUUUCGAUCCCUUUCUUUCAGAAAUUACAAAGAGGAAAAGGGUUUGGUUAUGGUGGAGGAGGGAAAGGGAGCGUUUAGCCUGUAAAAAAAGAGGCUGUGUUCCGCCUCCCCCCCAAAAUUGUACAGGCGGUCGUGUGCGCCCACGCAUCGAGGUGUUGUAAAAGCUGCCACGGCACUUUUCACCUGUGCAGUGCGAGAUUGGCCAGCCGGUUUAAAAACCCCUCCAAACAAUCAAAGGUUGACCUCGGAUCAGGUAGGGAUACCCGCUGAACUUAAGCAUAUCUAUAAGCGGAGGA